UACGUAGGGUCCGAGCGUUGUCCGGAAUUACUGGGCGUAAAGAGCUCGUAGGUGGUUUGUCGCGUUGUUCGUGAAAACUCACAGCUCAACUGUGGGCGUGCGGGCGAUACGGGCAGACUAGAGUACUGCAGGGAGACUGGAAUUCCUGGUGUAGCGGUGGAAUGCGUAGAUAUCAGGAGGAACACCGGUGGCGAAGGCGGGUCUCUGGGCCGUAACUGACGCUGAGGAGCGAAAGCAUGGGGAGCGAACAGG
rnacentral:rRNA from 1 species